GACUGGCAGUUUCUUCUAACAGAUUUCAUGAAGCUGUCAAGCUAGCCCAGCUGCUUGGCUGAAUCACACUGAAUUGGGAGUAUGACAGGACUUAUUCAACCCACAAGAGCUUCUCUCUCCAGAAACACAUUAAAAGCAAGUGGUUUAUCUCCAGUAAAGAACUAAACAUUUGAGGUGUCCUACAUGAAGACUUUAUAUAAAACUGUACCAGGCCUAAACAUUACUAUUUCA
rnacentral:lncRNA from 1 species